UGUGGUGUGGCUUAGUUGGUUAAAGCUCCAGACUAGCGAUAUGGAGUUGUAGGUUCAAAUCCCACCAAAACAA
rfam:Aedes albopictus isolate Foshan contig156262, whole genome shotgun sequence.